GAGUCCUAUAGUUGUGUACUCUACCAAAAUGAUGUUGAAGAGACACGGGAUCACCUCUUUCUCAAUUGUCCCUUUGCAAUUGCCUGCUGGGGACUUCUAUGUGUUGAUUUCACCGCACCAAGAUAAUAAUUCCCAGUGGUUCAGACUGUAAAAGACCAAACACACAUGACCUUCUUCAUGAUGGCAAUCAUUACCAUGUGUUGGGUAAUCUGGGGCGCAAGAAAUGUGAUUUGAUUUUUAAAGGAACACAAUAAUCAAGCCUCAUGGACUGCAAGAGAACUUUUGCAAAGGAGAUAGGUCUGGUUUCUCUCAGAAUCAAGUCCAGUUUAUCAACAGCUUUGAUACAUGGCGCC
rnacentral:lncRNA from 1 species